ACUCCUACGGGAGGCAGCAGUGGGGAAUAUUGCACAAUGGGCGCAAGCCUGAUGCAGCCAUGCCGCGUGUGUGAAGAAGGCCUUCGGGUUGUAAAGCACUUUCAGGUUGUGAGGAAGGUGGUGUCGUUAAUAGCGGCAUCAGUUUGACGUUAGCCAACAGAAGCAAGCACCGGCUAACUCCGUGCCAGCAGCCGCGGUAAUAC
rnacentral:rRNA from 1 species